rnacentral:rRNA from 1 species
GACGAACGCUGGCGGCGUGCUUAACACAUGCAAGUCGUACGGUAAGGCCCUUUCGGGGGUACACGAGUGGCGAACGGGUGAGUAACACGUGAGUAACCUGCCCACAACUUUGGGAUAACGCUAGGAAACUGGUGCUAAUACUGUAUAUGUGCUCCUGCUGCAUGGUGGGGGUUAGAAAGCUCCGGCGGUUGUGGAUGGACUCGCGGCCUAUCAGCUUGUUGGUGGGGUAGUGGCCUACCAAGGCGGCGACGGGUAGCCGGCCUGAGAGGGUGACCGGCCACAUUGGGACUGAGAUACGGCCCAGACUCCUACGGGAGGCAGCAGUGGGGAAUAUUGCACAAUGGGCGCAAGCCUGAUGCAGCAACGCCGCGUGCGGGAUGACGGCCUUCGGGUUGUAAACCGCUUUCAGCAGGGACGAAGCUUUUUGUGACGGUACCUGCAGAAGAAGCACCGGCUAACUACGUG